UUGAUGGUAACAGUAGGUAGUAGGUCAGGAGU
rnacentral:piRNA from 2 species